UACUAGAGUAGCACUCGCAUAUCAAUAAGCGGAGGAAAAGAAACUAACAAGGAUUCCCCUAGUAACGGCGAGUGAAGCGGGAAGAGCUCAAAUUUGAAAUCUUAAAGGGUUUCCCUUUACGAAUUGUAGUUUAAAGAAGUGUUUUCUGUUGAGGUUUUGGUAAAAGUUCUUUGGAAUAGGACAUCAUAGAGGGUGAGAAUCCCGUAUUUGACCUUUACUUUCAACUUUGUGAUACACUUUCAAAGAGUCGGAUUGUUUGGGAAUGCAGUCCAAAAUGGGUGGUAAAUUUCAUCUAAAGCUAAAUAUUGGCGAGAGACCGAUAGCGAACAAGUACCGUGAGGGAAAGAUGAAAAGAACUUUGAAAAGAGAGUUAAACAGUACGUGAAAUUGUCAAAAGGGAAGCGUUUGACACCAGUGUUGUUUUUCUGAAAAUCAAUUAAAGAACUGUUUAUGCUAAGUUGUUUAGACUUUAUCAGCUAUCUGUUUAGUUUUGAGCUUUUCUUUAAUGCACUUUUCAGUUAACAAGUCAACAUCAAUUUCUUUUGCUGUAAAAAAGCUUGAGGAAGGUGGCUUGAGAUUCGUCUUAAGUGUUUAUAGCCUCUUGCCUAUGCAGUCGGAGAGAUUGAGGUCUGCAGCGUAGAUCCUUCGGGGCUAAGUGCAUUUGUGCUAAGUUAUAGCAUUUUAUAGACAACUUGUUGACUAUGAUUUGUCUUGUAGCUUACUCGCUUAUGUUAUUUUACCUACGCUUAGGAUGUUGAUCUCUCACAGUCGAGC
rnacentral:rRNA from 1 species